rnacentral:rRNA from 1 species
CCUACGGGAGGCAGCAGUGAGGAAUAUUGGUCAAUGGGCGCGAGCCUGAACCAGCCAAGUAGCGUGAAGGAUGACUGCCCUACGGGUUGUAAACUUCUUUUCUCAGGGACGAAGCAAGUGACGGUACCUGAGGAAUAAGCCACGGCUAACUACGUGCCAGCAGCCGCGGUAAUACGUAGGUGGCAAGCGUUAUCCGGAUUUACUGGGUGUAAAGGGCGUGUAGGCGGGAAAGCAAGUCAGAUGUGAAAACCAUGGGCUCAACCUGUGGCCUGCAUUUGAAACUGUUUGUCUUGAGUACUGGAGAGGCAGACGGAAUUCCUAGUGUAGCGGUGAAAUGCGUAGAUAUUAGGAGGAACACCAGUGGCGAAGGCGGUCUGCUGGACAGCAACUGACGCUGAGGCGCGAAAGCGUGGGGAGCAAACAGGAUUAGAUACCCUAGUAGUC